AUUGAACGCUGGCGGCAGGCCUAACACAUGCAAGUCGAACGGAACCUUCGGGUUUAGUGGCGAACGGGUGAGUAAUGCCUAGGAAUCUGCCUAUUAGUGGGGGAGUAACGAAUCGAAAGGUUACGCUAAUACCGCAUACGUCCUACGGGAGAAGAGGGGAGUCUUCGGACCUCUUGCUAAUAGAUGAGCCUAGGUCGGAUUAGCUAGUUGGUGGGGUAAAGGCUCACCAAGGCGACGAUCUGUAGCUGGUCUGAGAGGAUGGCCAGCCACACUGGAACUGAGACACGGUCCAGACUCCUACGGGAGGCAGCAGUGGGGAAUAUUGGACAAUGGGCGCAAGCCUGAUCCAGCCAUGCCGCGUGUGUGAAGAAGGCCCUCGGGUUGUAAAGCACUUUAAGCGAGGAGGAAGGUCAUCAUACUAAUAUUAUGAUGAAUUUGACGUUACUCGCAGAAUAAGCACCGGCUAACUCUGUGCCAGCAG
rnacentral:rRNA from 1 species